AUUCUUCUGUAGUUCAUAAGUGUGACAACUGGGUUUUCAUGAGCAUGCAUGAGGUGUACCUCCCACAAGUCUCGUUAUGACACUGGCACAUUACCUGUCUGACG
ensembl:snoRNA